ensembl:snRNA U6 U6 spliceosomal RNA
GUGCUUGCUUCGGUAGUACAUAUACUAAAAUUGAAAUGAUACAGAGAUUAGCACAGACCCCGUGCAAGGAUGACAUGCAAAUUCAUGAUGUACUCCAUAUUUUU